GAAAGGAAUAGCAAGGGUGAGCAACAAUGCUCAGCAAGUAAUAAUAAACAAUGAUAGUUCUGAAAUGAUAUAAUAGAAGUUCACGAGUUCAAGAUAUAAGAGGAUUCAACCUGAGUUCAUGAGUUCAUGGUAUUGUAUAGAAUGAUUUACAAUACCUUGCAGCGUUUAAACUGAGAAAUUCAAUCUUUCCAAAGAAUUAUUGAAUUGGACUAUCACAUUUUAAUUAAAACCAAGGUUAGGCAGCUGAUCAGUUCCGCACUAACCCCGAGCAGGCCCCGCCAUGUUCUAUCACUGGAUCCAAGGCACUCAUUGGCCUAACAUGACCACGAAUCUGGUCCACAGGUUUAUAUAAAAACAAUAAUCCAAUUCUCUAAUUCAAUUCAAGAAGCCGACGUAAAUCAACAGAACAUUAUCAUAAAUAUAUUCAACAACUGAAUAAUUUCAAAUCAAACUUUGAUAAUAAUCUAUUCAUAAAUCAUGAUCCAUCAUUUCAUAAAUCACAGUUCAGGAAAUCCUCAACUAUUUAGUAUCCUCCAUUAUCGGCUAAGCAACUGAAUUUAGCCUGCUAAACCAACUGAAUUUAGAUGCCUCUCUCUUUUCUCAUUACAAUCGGGAUUCCACUGAUUUUCCGAUGAAAACCUCCAAAUCCUU
rnacentral:lncRNA from 1 species